AACGUAGGUGGCAAGCGUUAUCCGGAUUUACUGGGCGUAAAGGGUGUGCAGGCGGGACGACAAGUGGUGUAUGAAAUCUCCCAGCUUAACUGGGAUAGGUUAUGCCAGACUGUCGUUCUAGAGGACGAGAGAGGGGGGUGGAAUUCCGGGUGUAGUGGUGAAAUGCGUAGAGAUCCGGAGGAACCCCAGAGGCGAAGGCGGCCCCCUGGCUCGUACCUGACGCUCAUGCACGACAGCGUGGGGAUCAAACAGG
rnacentral:rRNA from 1 species